rnacentral:rRNA from 1 species
UUUGGGUUCCUCUUCUGUGGCACGCACACAUGUUCUACAUAGCUGUCGUCAGCUCGUGUCAUGAGAUGUUUGUUAAGUCCCGCAACGAGCACAACCCACGUCCUUAGUUACCAUCAUUCAUUUGGGCACUCUAGGGAGACUCCCGGUGAUAAACCCGCGAGGAAAGUGUGGAUAACGUCAAGUCCUCAUGCCCCUUACGGGAUGGGCUACACACGUGCUACAAUUGCGGUGACAGUUGUACNAAAACGAGCGAUCUGGAGCAAAUCCCCAAAAACCGUCUCACUUCGGAUUGCAUUUUUCACCUUGGGUGCAAAAAGCCC